CUUAGCGGCGGACGGGUGAGUAACGCGUGGGUAACCUGCCUUACACUGGGGGAGUAACAGUUAGAAAUGACUGCUAAUACCGCAUAAGCGCACAGGGCCGCAUGGUCUGGUGUGAAAAACUCCGGUGGUGUGAGAUGGACCCGCGUCUGAUUAGCCAGUUGGCGGGGUAACGGCCCACCAAAGCGACGAUCAGUAGCCGGCCUGAGAGGGUGAACGGCCACAUUGGGACUGAGACACGGCCCAAACUCCUACGGGAGGCAGCAUG
rnacentral:rRNA from 1 species